UGGAAAUCAUUAUCUUAAGGGAAACAUGAAGACUGAACUGAGAAAAAUGAGGGACUGUAACAAAACAGAAAAACUAUAGCUAGUAGGGAAGACAAAAAGGAACCCCAUGAAAAAAUUAUGGCCAUGAUGUCCCCAAAUCCAGGACAAUCCAAAUUCUGGAGCUAGAUCUAAUAACACUAAUAAAUAGUGUUAGAGAAAGACAAGAAGUUUCAGCUCUUCUUCAGAGUCUAUGCCAAAAGCUAAAGGUCAUAUCUCUUCCCAGUCCCAAGCCCCAUACAUCCUUAACAUUAGCACUUUAAAUAUGGCCUCUGCCAUGAAGAUAAAGGUGACAUUUGUCAAGUCCUAUUCACAGUAAUGAGCAGGGAUAUAUUAAUGGAGGACCACUGGACAAUUCUGUUUUAUUGCACAUUUUGCAGCACUGGUAUAGAGUUGGAGACCACAACCAGAAAAAGAGGUGGGAACAUGAACUUAAGUAUGAAGGUGUUGUGAAAUUGAAAGAGUUAGAAAAAAGAGAAAGAAAUCUCAUGGCAAAGGAAUUUACCAGAAGUGGAUGUUAUAGAACUGAGUUUCAGGUGAUACAAUGGAACAGGCAGAAAAAGAAAUGGAAAAACCAAAAAAAAAAAAAAAAAAAAAAAAAGGAAAAAAACAAAGUCAAGCUCGAAGAGACAAGAUUGAAUAGUAUUGGAAAAGGCAGGAUGGUCAAAAUAAGCAAAUAGAGCUUUACUUGGAAAUUUG